rnacentral:rRNA from 1 species
AUGUCUUGGCUCACGCGCUCCAUUGUGGCCACCCUGUCCUCCGCCCUCUCCGGCUCAAGCAAGGGAUUUGACAGCAGAGACGACGACGAAGACGACCACUCCGAGGCAGCCUCCGGCGACGAAACCCCGGAUCACGCCGCCAACGCCGACGCCGAGGAGGACGAGCAGCCGGACACCCCCGGCCGCGGGGUCAAGGGCGACAUCUCCGAGCUGACCGAGUCCCUCACCCGACGCUUCUGGGGCGUCGCCUCCUUCCUCGCGCCACCGCCGUCCGCCGGGGCCGAGGCCGCCGAUACGUCGACGGCGGCGGCUGAGGCGGAGGCGGAGGCGGAGGGAGAGCAUGGGCCCCAGUCCCCGCGGGUCGCCGGGAUCCGGAACGACCUGGCUGAGAUCGGGGGCAGGGUGAGGAGCGGCAUCUCGAUGCUGUCCAACGCCAACGCCGUGGCGGAGAUCUCCAAGAUCGCCUCGUCCUUCCUGCCUUUCGUGCCGGAGGAAGAGGAGGAGGAUGUGGAUGCGGUGGGCCUGACGGAGGAAGUGGUGGUGUUCGUCAGGCACACCUCGACCUCUCCCGAGACGUGGCUCGAUUUCCCCCUCUUCGUCAACGACCGGCACGCCGAUGAUUUUGAACUGUCAGAUACACAAUAUGAACAUGCAUUGGCUAUAGAGCGUAUAGUACCAAGCUUAUCAUAUCUCAGAACCGAACUUUGUUCGACCAAUAUGAGUGAAGCAUGCUUUUGGAAGAUCUAUUUUGUGCUUCUUCACUCAAAGCUCAACAAGGAAGAUGCUGAACUUCUUUCAACGACACAAAUCCUGGAAGCAAGAGAAGAGUUAUUGCAAAGCUCCCCAAGGAUGAAAAAUGUAGCGUCUGAGGGUCCUGGGGGCCCAUCAGAAAGCAGCAAUGUUCUAUCUACCCAAGCUGAAGAUAAAGAGUUGUCACCCUCAAGCAUCCAAGACAAGAGUGGAAUGGCUGAAGCAACAUCUUUCCAAGAACCAACUCCUGAUCCUCUGCCAGGGGCUGAGGCUGACAAGCAUCCCAUUUCAACCAGCGAGCCGGAAAUUAUUGACAAGUCUGUAAUUGAAGAAGAGCUGGUGGUGAAAACUGAAAUCAAGAAUCAGGGUGACAAACCCAACCUGUACACCCCGGAGGACGACGACGACAAAGAAGUGGAGGAUUGGCUAGAGGACAUGGACCAUGCCGACAGCAAAACAGGCAAUAUCACCUCGGUUGGGCAGGACGAAGACGUGUCAUUCAGUGACCUGGAGGAUGACGAUGAUGAUUAA